GGGAUUUUUACUUUACUCUUAAGAGUCAUGCCUGGUUCUGAAAUAACUAAAAGUUUGACAACAGACACAUAAUGAGCACAGUUGAGUAUUUUCUCAUAAUUAUAAAAUGCUACAACCAUGGAUUUUAAGAUGAAAGAUCUUCAAAUAGUCUAGUGAGACUGUGUUAAAUGAUUGUUGGAACGAUUUUGACUAACAAAAGAGCUGAAAAGGGGGAAAGAACAAC
rnacentral:misc_RNA from 1 species